GGGGGUGGAUGAGUGGCGAACGGGUGAGUAACACGUGAGUAACCUGCCCCGAACUCUGGGAUAAGCGCUGGAAACGGCGUCUAAUACUGGAUAUGUCCUAUCACCGCGUGGUGUGUAGGUGGAAAGAAUUUUGGUUCGGGAUGGACUCGCGGCCUAUCAGCUAGAUGGUGAGGUAAUGGCUCACCAUGGCGACGACGGGUAGCCGGCCUGAGAGGGUGACCGGCCACACUGGGACUGAGACACGGCCCAAACUCCUACGGGAGGCAGCAGUGGGGAAUAUUGCACAAUGGGCGCAAGCCUGAUGCAGCAACGCCGCGUGAGGGAUGACGGCCUUCGGGUUGUAAACCUCUUUUAGUAGGGAAGAAGCGAAAGUGACGGUACCUGCAGAAAAAGCACCGGCUAACUACGUGCCAGCAGCCGCGGUAAUACGUAGGGUGCAAGCGUUGUCCGGAAUUAUUGGGCGUAAAGAGCUCGUAGGCGGCUUGUCGCGUCUGCUGUGAAAACCAGAGGCUCAACCUCUGGCCUGCAGUGGGUACGGGCAAGCUAGAGUGCGGUAGGGGAGAUUGGAAUUCCUGGUGUAGCGGUGGAAUGCGCAGAUAUCAGGAGGAACACCGAUGGCGAAGGCAGAUCUCUGGGCCGUAACUGACGCUGAGGAGCGAAAGCAUGGGGAGCGAACAGGAUUAGAUACCCUGGUAGUCCAUGCCGUAAACGUUGGGAACUAGAUGUAGGGCCUGUUCCACGGGUUCUGUGUCGUAGCUAACGCAUUAAGUUCCCCGCCUGGGGAGUACGGCCGCAAGGCUAAAACUCAAAGGAAUUGACGGGGGCCCGCACAAGCGGCGGA
rnacentral:rRNA from 1 species